UAAAGUGCAAAAAACUGUUAUAAAAGGUGCAAAAAAUCGUUAUGUAUUCUAAUUAAAGAUAACGGUUAAAAUCGUUAUAAAAAGUGCAAAAAUCGUUAUAAAAAGUGCAAAAAAAUCGUUAUAAAAAGUGCAAAAAAUCGUUAUGUAUUCUAUGAAAGAUAACGGUUAAAACCGUUAUAAAAAGUGCAAAAAACUGUUAAC
rnacentral:lncRNA from 1 species